rnacentral:rRNA from 1 species
AGAGUUUGAUCAUGGCUCAGGACGAACGCUGGCGGCGUGCUUAACACAUGCAAGUCGAACGGUAAGGCCCUUCGGGGUACACGAGUGGCGAACGGGUGAGUAACACGUGGGUAAUCUGCCCUGCACAUCGGGAUAAGCCUGGGAAACUGGGUCUAAUACCGAAUAGGACCACAGGACACAUGUCCUGUGGUGGAAAGCUUUUGCGGUGUGGGAUGGGCCCGCGGCCUAUCAGCUUGUUGGUGGGGUGAUGGCCUACCAAGGCGACGACGGGUAGCCGGCCUGAGAGGGUGUCCGGCCACACUGGGACUGAGAUACGGCCCAGACUCCUACGGGAGGCAGCAGUGGGGAAUAUUGCACAAUGGGCGAAAGCCUGAUGCAGCGACGCCGCGUGGGGGAUGACGGCCUUCGGGUUGUAAACCUCUUUCACCAUCGACGAAGGUCCGGGUUUUCUCGGGCUGACGGUAGGUGGAGAAGAAGCACCGGCCAACUACGUGUCAGCAGCCGCGGUAAUACGUAGGGUGCGAGCGUUGUCCGGAAUUACUGGGCGUAAAGAGCUCGUAGGUGGUUUGUCGCGUUGUUCGUGAAAUCUCACGGCUUAACUGUGAGCGUGCGGGCGAUACGGGCAGACUUGAGUACUGCAGGGGAGACUGGAAUUCCUGGUGUAGCGGUGGAAUGCGCAGAUAUCAGGAGGAACACCGGUGGCGAAGGCGGGUCUCUGGGCAGUAACUGACGCUGAGGAGCGAAAGCGUGGGGAGCGAACAGGAUUAGAUACCCUGGUAGUCCAA